UACAGAGGGUGCGAGCGUUGUCCGGAAUCACUGGGCGUAAAGGGCGCGUAGGCGGUCUGGUAAGCGUGUGGUGAAAGCCCGGGGCUCAACCCCGGGUCGGCCAUGCGAACUGCUGGACUGGAGCAGAUCAGAGGCAGGCGGAAUUCCGGGUGUAGCGGUGGAAUGCGUAGAGAUCCGGAAGAACACCGGUGGCGAAGGCGGCCUGCUGGGAUCUUGCUGACGCUGAGGCGCGACAGCGUGGGGAGCAAACAGG
rnacentral:rRNA from 1 species